CCUACGGGGGGCAGCAGUGAGGAAUAUUGGUCAAUGGGCGCGAUCCUGAACCAGCCAAGCCGCGUGAGGGAAGACGGCCCUAUGGGUUGUAAACCUCUUUUGUCGGGGAACAAAACCCGCGACGCGUCCCGGUCUGAGAGUAUCCGAAGAAAAAGCAUCGGCUAACUCCGUGCCAGCAGCCGCGGUAAUACGGAGGAUGCGAGCGUUAUCCGGAUUUAUUGGGUUUAAAGGGUGCGUAGGCGGUCGAUCAAGUCAGCGGUAAAAUUGAGGGGCUCAACCUCGUCGAGCCGUUGAAACUGGUUUACUUGAGUGGGUGAGAAGUACGUGGAAGGCGUGGUGUAGCGGUGAAAUGCAUAGAUAUCACGCAGAACUCCGAUUGCGAAGGCAGCAUACCGGCGCUCAACUGACGCUCAUGCACGAAAGUGUGGGUAUCGAACAGGAUUAGAUACCCUGGUAGUC
rnacentral:rRNA from 1 species